rnacentral:rRNA from 1 species
GAUGAACGCUGGCGGCGUGCCUAAUACAUGCAAGUCGAGCGAACGGACGAGAAGCUUGCUUCUCUGAUGUUAGCGGCGGACAGGUGAGUAACACGUGGAUAACCUACCUAUAAGACUGGGAUAACUUCGGGAAACCGGAGCUAAUACCGGAUAAUAUUUUGAACCGCAUGGUUCAAAAGUGAAAGACGGUCUUGCUGUCACUUAUAGAUGGAUCCGCGCUGCAUUAGCUAGUUGGUAAGGUAACGGCUUACCAAGGCAACGAUGCAUAGCCGACCUGAGAGGGUGAUCGGCCACACUGGAACUGAGACACGGUCCAGACUCCUACGGGAGGCAGCAGUAGGGAAUCUUCCGCAAUGGGCGAAAGCCUGACGGAGCAACGCCGCGUGAGUGAUGAAGGUCUUCGGAUCGUUAAACUCUGUUAUUAGGGAAGAACAUAUGUGUAAGUAACUGUGCACAUCUUGACGGUACCUAAUCAGAAAGCCACGGCUAACUACGUG